CUAUUGAUAAUUUGAUCUACUCCACAAGCUUAUGUAAAUACACAGUAAUUUUGAAAGGAUUAAUUGAAACAUGUUUAUUUAUAAAAUAAGUAAUCUGUGUGAUGAUAUGUUAUAUCAUAUAUUAAUAUAGAGAAACAAAGAAAAUUUUGUUUAGCAUUUCUGUGAAGCAUUCCAUAGCGGCUGGUCAUGAGCGGCGGUGUCUACUUGGCUAUGAACAAGAACUUCACAUAAUGUUCAUAUACCUUAGUAAGAAGAUCGCUAUUCCCAACAAUACUCGUUUACGAUGUGUAGGUUGGAACAAAGACCAGGGAUACAUUGCCUGUGGCGGUGAUGAUGGCUUAUUAAAAGUGCUCAAGCUGGAAGCUGGUAGAGAUACAGCUGACUUCACCUUUCACCAAUACUGAAGAAAUAAAUCUUGGUAUCAUUUGAUUGAUGGGGAAUUUUUCCGGUUUCAGGGAAGAUUUUGGAAUUUGCUUUCUCACCUAACCUCGGAACUGGUUAGCAGACUCAGAACAGAAACAUUUGGAGACUUUCCGUAAAAUCCCCAAAUUACUCAUAGACCAGAAAAAAUGCAGUUUCUGGAAAUUUCUGAACAUAUACCUUGGAGAAAUCAUAACAUACUGUAUGCCUUAA